UCCCCUGUUUAUUAAAAACCUUUUUUUUUGUUAGUUUUUGAAGUAUGGCCUGCCCCCUGACUUUAGUGUUGAAGGGCCGGGGUAUUUUGGCCGUUCAAAGGUAGCAUAGUCCUUAGUUUUUUAAAUGUGAUUUGGUAUGAAAGGCUUGGCGAGGCCUGGGCUGUUUUAAUUUUUAAAUGUUUAAUGAAUUUGGUUUUUGAAUUAAAAUUUUUAGAAGUUUUUAUGGGACGAGAAGGCCCUAUAGAAUUUAACCUUUGUUAUGGUUCCCUUUCUGUUUGUGAGGGUUCAUUGGGCCGUUUAAUAUGUUUUGUUGGGGUGAUGGGAGGGAUUAAUUUAACCCCUCCUUUUUAUUAUUAUAUUUAUUUAUAUUACUGAUCC
rnacentral:rRNA from 1 species